AUUAAUAGGUAUUGAUUAUAGUAUAAUAUGUAAAACAAUAUGGACUCCAACAUUUUAUAUUGAUGAAACGGCACCUUUUAAAAGACAAAAAAAAAAGAAAACGCUGAUGAACGAGUCUUGUCAAGCUAUAUAUGGAUGAAGAUUAUAAACUUCUCGUAGCUGCGAUCGACUUUGGCAGUACAACAGCUGGAUAUGCGUUCUCUUUCCGACAUGAAUACCGAAAAGACCCUUUAGAUAUUUCUACUUUCCUUUGGACGACUGGAAAUCAUGAUAUUGCUACAAGUAAAGCGCCUUGUUCUGUUCUCCUGGACUUAGAGAAGAGAUUUAUAGCAUUUGGAUAUGAAGCUGAAGAUAAGUAUGAAGGAAUACUGGCUAAUAAUCUCCAAGAUGACUGGUAUUACUUCAAAGGAUUCAAAAUGUUACUAUACAAAGCUAUUGAGAAUGGGGAGGAUAUUGCCAGAGAUUUCAAGAUAGACGAUGUCACAGGGAAAUCUAUGUCUGCACGACGUAUCUUUUCCAUCGCUAUCGGAUAUCUACGUAGACAUUUAUUGGUACAGCUCCGUGAACGGAAUGUUGGAUUACACGAAAGCGAAAUUUGGUGGACUAUUACAGUACCUUCAAUAUGGACUGAACCUGCUAAAGAGUUUAUGAUGCAAUGUGCAGAAAAGGCUAGUCUAGAUCGGCAAAAGGUUUCCAUAUUGUUUGAACCGGAAGCAGCUUCAAUAUACUGUAGACUACUUCCUGUUGAUAAAUUCAUUGGACAAAACAAAGUGACGAGUUUUAAAUCAUUCGAAGCUGGUAGAAAAUAUAUAGUUGUUGACGCCGGCGGAGGUACUGUAAAUAUUUCGACACAGGAAGUUAGUCAUGGAGAGGAGAUCGAUAUGCUGUAUAAAGUUUCCGGUGGACCUUGGGGUGGCGACAAAAUUAAUGAAGAAUUUAUAAAGUUACUAUGUAAUGUAUUUGGAGAUGAUAUCAUUCAACAAUUUAGAGACUUUAAUGGUCCAGAUUACUUAGAUUUGACCCGACAAUUCGAAUUAAAAAAGAAGACAUACAACAGAUUUUUAAAAAAUGAUAUCGUUAUGAGACUUCCCUUUGAACUCUGUGAUCUUUUUGAGACAUAUACUGGACGAAAAAUAGAAGAUGCAAUCUGCAAGUCAAAGUACUCAGGUAAAAUAAAGUUCAAAAAGUCUAAACUAUGUCUCUCGCCUGAGGUGUUUGAAUACCUAUACUCCGACAUUGUACUAAAUGUAACACAAGAAAUAAGGAAAAUCUUAAACCACCCCCGAUGUAAAGAUGUUAGCGCUAUAUUAAUGGUUGGAGGCUUUUCUGAAUCUGAAAUUUUACAAUUGGAAAUAAAAAAUGCUUUUCCCGAUUUACAGUUCUUCAUUCCGAUGGAGGGUGGUCUCGCUGUCCUUAAGGGUGCAGUCAUUUAUGGGCAUAACCCAAGAACAUUUGGCACUAGAUUGUGCAAUUUUACAUAUGGCGUCAAUGCCAUGCUGCCUUUUAGUAAAAGACGUCAUCCUGAUUCUCAUCGAGUAAUAUGGAAUGGAAAGCCUUAUUGUUCCAAUAUUUUUCGUGUACUUUUUAUUGUAAAUGAAGAAAUUAAAGAAGGCGAAGUAAGAUCUAUUCGUGUUAUAGAUGCGUUUGAUACUGAAGAAGCUCAAGAGAAAAGGUUCUCCCCAAUCAGAGUUCAAAUAUUUGCAAGUGAUGAAGAAGAUCCUGUUUACACCACUGAUGAAGGCUGCCGAUUACAUGCAGAAAUAGUUGUAUCACCCCCAGACGGAAAAUGGCCUCGGCGUGUUUUUGGAACUGUUGAAUUAGAAUUUGCCGGAACUGAAAUGAUAGGGACUUAUAUUUCAGAUGACACAGGCGCGAAAACGUGCGCUCGGUUUGAAUUUUUACCGUCUGUGCCUUCUUCAAGAGCAUCCUCGGCAAAAUCUAGACGAGACAGUUUACGUUCAAAAGGCAUUAUUGAAAAUCAUUUCACUUCAAAAGCGACGUUACGAACGAUUCAGGAAGAAGAUACAUAUUCAAGAAGAAGCAGAAAGUCCACAGAGAAAAAGCCUAUGGGUUCUUCUGUAAGCCUUGACACAAUUUCAGACGAUCAAAGUUUUAAAGGCAGUUUAAUGCUUAACAGAGGAAAUCUAUAUAAACACGACUCUAGAACAACUAUUUAUUCAGAUAUUCAAGACGAGGAAAAGGGUUCAACAGCAAGUUUAAGGAAACUAGUUGCAUCGACGACUAGUAUAAAUACUACAGAUUCAGACAACGACGAAAUCAAAAUUGAAGUAGACUAGAUUCAAUGUGUGAUGUUUCUUGUCCUUUUAAAAAUUGUUUAAGAACAUUAAGUUACAAUUACAGAUGAAAUAAUAUAUCUUUAAAUAAUCCUGAUUAAUUCUAAAUAUGCAAUGAAAUCUUACCACCUUAUUCUUGAUAAACAAAACGUUGAAAUCGGUCAUUGUAUUUAUAAACCUUGAUUUAUGAACUGUUCAUGGUAAUUGCAUGCCAAAAUUAAUGACAAACAGGACGACUUUACUUUACCUUUUGAUGUUUGCCUUUUUCUUUAUGGUGAUUUUCUCUUUGUUUUUCUGAAAGGGUCUACAUUCCUUUAUUUGUGCGAUAAUAACUCAUUAAUGACACCAUGCUUGAAAUUGUGGGCACCGGACGCAUGCACGUUUCUUCUACAUAGACUCACUAGUGACGCUUGAAUCAAAACAAUUGGAAGGCCAAAUUAAAUACAAACUUGAAUAGCUUUGUAGAAGAUAUGCACAUGUUUGCAAUGGGUCUCAGAUUUCAACGAAUGUUACAUUUUCAUUAUUAAAACACUUUUUUCAGCAGGGAUAUAGAUAACAUAUUGGUAAAUAUGUCAUUAAAUUAAAUCACAAUGCCAGUAAUGCCUUAGGGGAUUUGUUGUGAAAGAAUGUUUCCAACUGCAGGAAUUGUCCUUCAAAUCCUUCUUUUUUACUUACGGAUAUGAUGGCUUAAAACAAUAAUAAAUGAAAAUUUUAAAUUCUAAAAAGUAAUUACUGUGCGUAGUGUGUAAGAUCAUGUCUUACUGUAUUGUUAAUAACUUUGCAGUUUGAAAUCUACUUGGAAUUGAAGCCGCCGAUAUUAGAGUGUAAGACUACGUGUUUUCCUUAUCAGCGAUUUCUGGAUUUUAACCGAGAGCAUUCUUUGAUGAGAAAUGUGUUUAUUUUGGUUUGGAUGAAUCUGUUCUGUCUCUCCAUUAUACCGAUAUUCCCAAGUAGAGUACGUUUUCAGAGCUGAUUGUAUCUCCAUUAGUAUUAUCAUUAUCAGUAUUAUUUCGUCUUUGUGUUGUUGGAAGGAAUUGGUGUUAAUGGAAGAUCUCUAAAAGUCUGUUGAUUUUAUUCACUGUUUCAAGACUCGCGAAAAUUUCGAGCUUGACAUAUCGUAUAGACACUUGCCAAUCAUAGAAGACCUUAUGUUGACCUUUGUAUGUUUUAUUUUCCUUUGCGUCGUUGGGUUUUUGUCAAAUUGACAAAAGCCAAACAUCUUCUAUUCACAUUUGAUCAUUUCCCAUAUGAUAGAUAUGAUUUAAUUGCCAUACAAAUCGAAGUUAGCCUAAUCGUACACACACUGUAUAUAAUAUCUUAUUUCCAUGGUUUCCUGUGUGGCUGAGUGGUGUAAGUAGUUCAUCUACUGUAUCACUAGCCUGUCAACAUUGAGGUUGUGAGUUCGAACCCCGAACGUGGAAGGUGGGUAAGACUCCAAUUUUGUUGACUAGGAUUGCCAGUUUCCCGGUCGAAGGUCGGUGGUUCUCUCCGGGUACUCGGGCUACUGCCACGAAUAAAAUAUAGCAGCCGCGAAAUAGCUAAUAGUGCUGAAAGUGGAAUUAAACACCAAAAAUGAAUCAAUCAAUCAAUCAAUCACUUUUUUUUCUAUCUAGCAACCCUCUUAUAAUUAAAAAAAAAUGCAAAUAUAAUUUUUAUUAAAGCAAUUAAAAUGCUACAUUUUUCAUUAUCAUUAUCUUGCAAUAACAAUCAAUACCUAUUAAACAAACAAACCAUCAAACGAACAAACAAACAAACAAACCAAACAACGUAUUUUAUAUGACAUUCUUUUUCGCUUGUUCAUAGAGACAUAGUCCCAUGUAACAACUUGAUGAAAUGAUAACUCCCCGCAAAAUACAUCAAUAUACAUAAGUAAACAAAAAAAUCUCAACAAUUCCAGCUUAAAUGCCGACCUUUUGUAUAAAGCACUUCAACGAUUAUUAUUAUUAUAGAUACCAACGGGUGAUGGUCUGUAGAAUGAUAUACACUUGUGUAACUUGGAAGUAAAACAAAUAUGUUGUUGUAAACGUGAUGAACGUUUCAUAUUCAAUUCAUUUUAAUGCGUAGUAAGUUAAAUGCUUACUAUAAAAAGUUGUACAUUGUUUACUAACAAUAAACAACUGUGACAGGACUUGUGCAAAGAUGUCAGAUCUAUUGACAAAUAUCCAUAAAACCAGACAAAAUGCAAGAAAAGCUAUAUCACAAGGAAUAUUAGAUACGGCACUCUUUCUGUCAAAUGUAGCCCAGCUAAAAUCAAUUAUAGAUGAGGAUCUAGGAACAGAAGCAAAACCAAAAGUAGCGAUAGCUAUGAUCUCAUUAUCGUUACUCAUACAAGUGGUGAUAGGAAUAUUAAUUAUACUGUUACUGGAUGUUGAAGGCGCCUUAAUAGAGCUCGGAGACAUGGAACGUGGACGUACGAUGCUUCCUGCUGAGGACGAUAUCACAGAAGAAUCAACUCUUUUGGAACCAGAUCCAAUACCUAUAAUGGCUACUGAUCAUACAGGGGACACUUAUGUUUUCAAAAAAAGACAAAAACUCAAAGCUCGAGCCAGAAGAAUAAACACUGCUAUAUUAUUUUUUAUAUUUUCAGUUUUCUGCUUAAAUCUGAUCAUUAAUGGCUUAGAACUUUCAAAACCAAACACUCUUAAACAAUGGCUUAAAGCUUAUAAUAUUACAAUUUCAAGAUGAUCAAUGAAAAACAUUCCAAGUAUGUCUGCUAAAACUUCAAAAAAUAUGUUUCGUCUAAAAUAAUAUUUCGGUUUUGAUAUACAUGCAAGUUACUAUUGGAAAAAAAGAAUGCAGACACAUGUUAUAUGAAUAUAAAGGCAUUAACACCUUCAUAAUAUCAGCUCUAUUAUCAGGGGAAUAAAAACAAUCAAAUUAAAAUCUGUAGUUUUAAGUCAAAUUUAAGUGUAUAAGAAGAAAAGAUGCAGUUAAUAUGUCUGAGCGCUAGCUCGAAUGCUUUUUGUCAGUGUUUUUUUCCGAUAUACGUGACCUUGUGCAUACUGGUGCUUUUAUUGUUUUAAAAUAUAAAGUUUACAUACUUAAAUCACAUACUAGUAAUAUUAGGAAAUAUAUGUAGAUAUGUCUGCUUAAAACUUCAAAAGAAAUGUUUCGUUUAAAAUCAGAUUUUGGUUUGUAUCACCCUUUAGUGACUAAUGGUCUUCCCCUUUGUGUGAUUGAUCCUUUAAAAGACCCACAGAUCCACUAACUGAUUUCUCUAAAACAAUCCAGAUUUCACAUUUCUUAUUUAAUUCAUUGUGAGAAUGUUUGAAAUGACUUCUCAGAUUUUAAUGAACAUAAUAGAUUGUAAUCACUAAUUUCUAUAUCUCAUCAAUUGGUUAAAAAUUCUUUUACAUUAAGCUUACUUUUGCUACAAACAUAAUGUAUAUAUAUAUAUAUAUUUAUGUAUAUCAAUCAUUGAAGUAUUACUCCACUUGCAGAAAUUUAUAGUACAAAAUGGCAUUUUACAUAAAGCUUUUUAUGGAUACUUUAUCAUUAUUUAGCAGACAAGUUAAGGAAUAUUACCCAUAAAAUCUUUAUUAUCUGAC